CUUGCUACCUACCUAGCGGCGGACGGGUGAGUAAUGCUUAGGAAUCUGCCUAUUAGUGGGGGACAACAUUCCGAAAGGAAUGCUAAUACCGCAUACGUCCUACGGGAGAAAGCAGGGGACCUUCGGGCCUUGCGCUAAUAGAUGAGCCUAAGUCGGAUUAGCUAGUUGGUGGGGUAAAGGCCUACCAAGGCGACGAUCUGUAGCGGGUCUGAGAGGAUGAUCCGCCACACUGGGACUGAGACACGGCCCAGACUCCUACGGGAGGCAGCAGUGGGGAAUAUUGGACAAUGGGGGGAACCCUGAUCCAGCCAUGCCGCGUGUGUGAAGAAGGCCUUUUGGUUGUAAAGCACUUUAAGCGAGGAGGAGGCUCCCAGUAUUAAUACUACUGGAGAGUGGACGUUACUCGCAGAAUAAGCACCGGCUAACUCUGUGCCAGCAGCCGCGGUAAU
rnacentral:rRNA from 1 species